UAGGGGGCAAGCGUUAUCCGGAUUUACUGGGUGUAAAGGGAGCGUAGGCGGCGAUGCAAGUCAGAAGUGAAAUCCAUGGGCUUAACCCAUGAACUGCUAUUGAAACUGUAGAGCUUGAGUGAAGUAGAGGUAGGCGGAAUUCCCGGUGUAGCGGUGAAAUGCGUAGAGAUCGGGAGGAACACCAGUGGCGAAGGCGGCCUACUGGGCUUUAACUGACGCUGAGGCACGAAAGCGUGGGUAGCA
rnacentral:rRNA from 1 species